UCAGAUGAAAUCAUUGAACUCGAUGGCGACGAACUAUUCUGGUUGAAUUCUCGGUGAACUAUUCUGGUGAGUUGAUUCUAAAUUGAUGGGCGAACUUAUUUCAGAUUGUAUUUUCAAUUGAUUCACAUGUAGUUAUGUUGGGAGUUUUUAUUUACUGUUUUUUUAUUUUUGAUUUUUUUUUCGGUUACUUUGUACAUAAGCAAUUUGUUGUAGUUAUGUUGGGAAUUUUUAUUUACUGGUUCAUCGUUAAUUAACUAGUUCUUCAAUGGAAUGUUCGGGAUAUUUAAAUAUUUAAAAUAGUCUGUUAGUUUAAUGUUUAACAAAUUUUGAUGAAGUACUGCAUAGUUCUUUCGAACGUAUGUCGAAAUUUUGAUGAAGAAUUUGGGUAUGUUCAGUGGUCCCAGAUCUAAAGUGAAAAUGAACUUUCAGUACAAUAAUCUUAUAAGAUUG
rnacentral:lncRNA from 1 species